CCUACGGGAGGCAGCAGUAGGGAAUAUUGCUCAAUGGGGGAAACCCUGAAGCAGCAACGCCGCGUGGAGGAUGAAGGUUUUCGGAUUGUAAACUCCUUUUGUUAGAGAAGAUAAUGACGGUAUCUAACGAAUAAGCACCGGCUAACUCCGUGCCAGCAGCCGCGGUAAUACGGAGGGUGCAAGCGUUACUCGGAAUCACUGGGCGUAAAGAGGGCGUAGGCGGGAUAGCAAGUCAGAUGUGAAAUCCUAUGGCUUAACCAUAGAACUGCAUUUGAAACUGUUGUUCUAGAGUAUGGGAGAGGUAGGUGGAAUUCUUGGUGUAGGGGUAAAAUCCGUAGAGAUCAAGAGGAAUACUCAUUGCGAAGGCGACCUGCUAGAACAUAACUGACGCUGAUGCGCGAAAGCGUGGGGAGCAAACAGGAUUAGAUACCCGUGUAGUC
rnacentral:rRNA from 1 species